rnacentral:lncRNA from 1 species
CCAAUCUCCAUUGCUCAAUCAAAUUGAGCCAAUUAACAAUCAUAUUGUUAAUUAUUUAUUCUUCUAAUUUGCUAACCAUUAGUAAAUAUUUCAUUACAACCUUUGUAAAGGAUUAAUCAUCAGUUAAAUUGAUAAUUAAACCCUUUAAUAAUUUAUAAUCGUCGAUCAGCCAUUUGAUCAGACAGAUACUUCAUGUGUGUGACCCCAU